CCAACCCUUUUUAAUUAUUGGGUAUGGUCUAUUAAAUAAAGAAGGAACCUUUCUAAUUUACUGAAUUCCAUAUGAAAUAUAUUAAAUAUAGUGUGUUAAUAGUAAUGUCUCUCACUCUCAUGAUAAAAUCAAUUAUACUUCCUUCUUUGAAUACCUUAACCAUAGACAUAUAUAGAACCAUAGAUUUGUCAUCAAAGGCCACACAUAGAGUUAAAGAGAGAAGAGAUAUGAGUUUGGUGGUAGAGUUAGGUAUUGCACUAAUAGGUUUAUGGGGAAUGGGUGUGAGGCCAAUGUUGUUCCAAUGUGUCAUAGAGAUGGGAGAAGCAUUGAAAUGUGCCUUUUACAGGAUUAUAAUAAGAGGAAGACCUUCUUUGCUUCAAUAUAACUAUCCUCCAUCUUCCAUUUAUGCCUAUGGAAGAUGAUUGAAGAGGGUCCUAAUGAUUUAUCCUUACAUAAAGUAUGUGUACUUUAUUUCUUAUGCUUUUAAUUUGUCACAAUUGUAGCUUGAAGUUCCCACUACUUUAUGUGACAGAUGUAAGUGUAUUCUCCAUGUACUAGAGAGAACUUCUGUUUUCACUUUUAGUUUUCAGAUUAAAAGUGUUAUUUCACUGUAAGUAAAUAAAAUGAUACAAAUCUUAUUGCAUUUUCUUUUUUCUUUAGUUUUUUACAGCAUUUCUUUUUCUAGUACUAGAAAAGAUUCCGCCUUUAAGUAUGAAUUAUUUUAAAAGAGAUUAAUCAACUCAUAUAUGCUUUGAAUGCCUAGAUGUAACCUCACAUGUUAUGUAGGAAGCUAAAAAUCUUCGAGAAUUAUGCUUAUAAUUCACUUAGAAGUUGGUAUUAAACUUUACUCAUAAAUUCAUACUUUUGUACCAUUGUGUAUCAAUAUUUGGCUGCUUUUACCUAUAUAAUAACUUACAAUUGAGCUAGUGAAUUUAUACUGAGUUUUCACUUGAUUACUUGUUUGUUUAAAAUACAAUGAUGGCAAUUCUGGGGUCAUAGUACUUAAGCUUAUAAACCACUUUCUCAUUACAAACUUUCUCAUUAACCACUGAUGUGGAAUUUGUAGAUUUUCAAAAAAUAAAGUCAAAGUUGUGCUUAAUUUUUUUUGUACUACUAAUGGUAUCUCUUUAUUUUUUGGGUAAGAAACUAAUCUUUUUCAGGAUUUAUGACUGUCUCUCCCAACAAGUGUCACUCCCAGGAAUCGAACCUUCAACCUUGGGAAUCAAAUGAAGUUUUACACUACUAGAUCAACGCCUUAUUAGUAGGUGUGCUUAAUUAAUACUUAGCAUUAUUCAUGAGAAAUCGCUCAUGAGUAAUUUCCAUGCCAAGAAUAUGUGCCUUGGUGAUAACUUAAAUUCUUUUGAACCUGUCAAGAAGAAUACAAGUAAACCAAUCAAUAACUUGUCAAUAUAAAGCAAUAAAUUGUGCCUAAUUCUAAAUCAGACCUUUUGGGUCCUUUUGCUCAACCGGGACUAGUGGUGUUCAUAAUUCGAUUAGGACUUCAAAUCACUUAUAAACUAGACCGAAUGACUGCCUGCUUGGAAAGAGUAAGUGUGGUUGCGAUUAUAAUUACGGUAACAUUGUAUCUAUCGAAAUUAUGAAAAAUAAAAUGUGAACAAAACACAACAAUACAUACUAACGAUUUUUAAAUUAACAUGUCAUAUUUUAAUCAUCUCGAAACAACAGGGUUUGAGACCCGAGAUUGGAAUUAACCCAUUCACAAAGCCAAUCCUACCACUGCAGCUGUUACUUUCACCAACGUUCCUAUCAUUCCAUGUGAUGAACUUACUGAAUCAGGCAACUAUGUCACCUGAGUAGACCUUGUCCAGAUUUGGUUCAUCAAGCAACUCAUGGAUGUAGCCACAAAAGAAGCAAUCUCCUUGAAAACAAAUUGAUGCCUCCUUAUGUGCCAUGUUUUAUGUGGUACUCUCUCUUGGUGCCAAAUUGCAUGUAUAGUAUGGUGCCUUCCAAACAUGUUAUGAGGUUUGGCUCUCAUGUCCUCUUGUUACUCUUAUAAAGAAUGACCCAGAAUUUUACCUAUAGCAGAA
rnacentral:lncRNA from 1 species